rnacentral:rRNA from 1 species
UGGGGAAUUUUGGACAAUGGGCGAAAGCCUGAUCCAGCAAUGCCGCGUGUGUGAAGAAGGCCUUCGGGUUGUAAACACUUUUGUCCGGAAAGAAAUCCUUGGCUCUAAUACAGUCGGGGGAUGACGGUACCGGAAGAAUAAGCACCGGCUAACUACGUGCCAGCAGCCGCGGUAAUACGUAGGGUGCAAGCGUUAAUCGGAAUUACUGGGCGUAAAGCGUGCGCAGGCGGUUUGCUAAGACCGAUGUGAAAUCCCCGGGCUCAACCUGGGAACUGCAUUGGUGACUGGCAGGCUAGAGUAUGGCAGAGGGGGGUAGAAUUCCACGUGUAGCAGUGAAAUGCGUAGAGAUGUGGAGGAAUACCGAUGGCGAAGGCAGCCCCCUGGGCCAAUACUGACGCUCAUGCACGAAAGCGUGGGGAGCAAACAGGAUUAGAUACCCUGGUAGUCCACGCCCUAAAACGAUGUCAACUAGUUGUUGGGGAUUCAUUUCCUUAGUAACGUAGCUAACGCGUGAAGUUGACCGCCUGGGGAGUACGGUCGCAAGAUUAAAACUCAAAUGAAUUGACGGGGU